CAGUCGCCGCGGUAAUACGAAGGGGGCUAGCGUUGUUCGGAUUUACUGGGCGUAAAGCGCACGUAGGCGGACUUUUAAGUCAGGGGUGAAAUCCCGGGGCUCAACCCCGGAACUGCCUUUGAUACUGGAAGUCUUGAGUAUGGUAGAGGUGAGUGGAAUUCCGAGUGUAGAGGUGAAAUUCGUAGAUAUUCGAAGGAACACCAGUGGCGAAGGCGGCCCACUGGACCAUUACUGACGCUGAGGUGCGAAAGCGUGGGGAGCAAACAGGAUUAGAUACCCCCGUAGUCCCUGUCUCUUAUAC
rnacentral:rRNA from 1 species